UUUUGGUUUAUUCCCUCGUUUUAUUGAGGAGGCAAAGAGUACUAGCCCAUACAGCCAAGUCUUUUGUAUUGAAUAUUUAUAUAUAAAUAAGAGUGGCUAAUAUCCACUGAAGAAGAAGGCAUAAGCCAAGUCUGUAGUGUACAUCAAAAAUUGAGGCCUAAAAGGCCUAGUCUUUAGUAAUAAAUCCAAAUAAAACAUAACCAAAAAUAUAAAUAUUUUUGUUUUAAGUCCAAUCAAAUUUCCAUAAAAGUAUUUGUUACAAAUUCAUAUAAAGGUUUAAAGCAUGCAGGAUUGGAUAAGAGUUCCUGAAGCGAGCGCGGGAUUGCUUCAGAAUAAUUAUAAAUUUGUGUUAGGCGGUCGACUAACACAAUUCUUUGCAAACAGAAAUUGGAACAUUCGUAAAACAAAUGAUGUAAAGUUUGAUCUGCAAUGUUGCAAUAAUUGCAUAUAGGAGAAGACAAAAGUUUAAGACGAAACAGAUGAGAAUUAAAACGACCAUGGCCAAGACGAAGACGACAAACUAUAGUAUAGAACUUUCUACCAGCAAAAUCUCUUCCUUUUACAAACCAAGGUCGACCUAAUUUAUUAUUGAUUCCCGCAUACCAUAAACCCUUGCAAUUCAAUUCCCAAGUCUCCUUCCAUUGUUUGUCAAAAAGCUGUGAUAUAUUUUGUUUUAAUAAAGAUAGAACAUCUCCCGCUGGUAGUGAGCAAGAUUUUAAUUCAAUGCAGUUACCAUAACGCACUAUAGUUUUGGCGAAAUAAUCUACACUUUCGUUACCCUUCACACCUAUGUGUGAUGGAGUCCAUAGUAAUAUUAUAUCCUUAUGAUGAUUCUGACAGAGAUCAUAGUACUUUUCUCUUAUUUUAUGUGUUAUAAAUGAGGUGGUAGAAUCAAAUUUUGGAUUAUUAAGCGAACUUAAAAUACCCAUAUUAUCAGUAAUAAUAAUCCAAUUAUCAUAGGAAUGUUGAGAAAUGUAUUCGAGAGCUGAAAAUAUUCCAAUUGACUCUGCCGUAUAAAUGGAAGCAUUAUUAGGGAGUCUACACCCAUGACCCGUUUUGGCUUCUAAAUCAUAAAUAGCCAUUGAGACAGCUGACGUUGACGUAUUCUUUGAACCGUCUGUAUAAAUUUGCUUGUAACCUCUGUAUGAUUCUAAUUUGUUGUAAACAUCCUCUUUAAAUUCAAGAGAUUUAUCUAUAACAAUUUUAAUAGGAUAAAAUUUGCUUUCGUAAGAACCUGAAUAGCAUGGCAGGAUUACGCUUUCAUAAAGAUUAUUUUGAAGUUUGAAUUCGACAGCUUCUUUAAGACAUUCUGUUAAGUUUGAAGAAGAAUUUACUAACUUAGGCAUUAAGGGGUGACCUGUUGAAGAACAAAUUUUGAGCAGAAAUUUAUAGUUAAGAUAACGGAAUCUUAUGGCUAAAGGAGGAAGUCCCAAGCUGAUUAGAGUGGCAGAAAGAACAUGCAAGUUAACAUUAUUAAAAGCACCAACUACAUCAAAGAAGACACAAGCCAGAAUUGUAUUGUUUGAUAAGGCCUCCUGAAUGUCCAAAUUCAAGUGACACAGACUUUCUCGAGCUGAUCGACCACGGCGAAAUCCAAAUUGAUUAUAAGGCAAUAAAUGGUUACUCUCUACAUAAAAUUCAA